rnacentral:rRNA from 1 species
GAUGAACGCUAGCGGCAGGCCUAAUACAUGCAAGUCGAACGGCCCCGACACUUCGGUGUCGGGGUAGUGGCGCACGGGUGCGUAACGCGUACACAACAUACCCUUUACAGGGGGAUAGCGGCGGGAAACUGCCAGUAAUACCCCAUGUCCUUGCGAGGUGGCAUCAUUUUGCAAAGAAAGUUCAAGCGGUAAAGGAUUGGUGUGCGUCCGAUUAGCUAGUUGGCGGGGUAACGGCCCACCAAGGCGACGAUCGGUAGGGGGUGUGAGAGCAUGGCCCCCCACACGGGUACUGAGACACGGACCCGACUCCUACGGGAGGCAGCAGUGGGGAAUUUUGGACAAUGGGCGCAAGCCUGAUCCAGCCAUGCCGCGUGCGGGACGAAGGGCCUUCGGUUGGUAAACCGACUUUCAGCCGGAAAGGAAAUCGCCGUUUUUAACUACAGACGGUGGAUGACGGUACCGGAAGAAGAAGCACCGGCUAACUACGUGCCAGCAGCCGCGGUAAAG